UACGAAGGGGGCUAGCGUUGCUCGGAAUCACUGGGCGUAAAGCGCACGUAGGCGGAUUGCUAAGUCAGGGGUGAAAUCCUGGAGCUCAACUCCAGAACUGCCUUUGAUACUGGCGAUCUCGAGUCCGGGGGAGGUGAGUGGAACUGCGAGUGUAGAGGUGAAAUUCGUAGAUAUUCGCAAGAACACCAGUGGCGAAGGCGGCUCACUGGCCCGUUACCGACGCUCAGGCGCGACAGCGUGGGGAGCAAACAGG
rnacentral:rRNA from 1 species